AUUGAACGCUGGCGGCAUGCCUUACACAUGCAAGUCGAACGGCAGCACGGGCUUCGGUCUGGUGGCGAGUGGCGAACGGGUGAGUAAAGUAUCGGAACGUACCUUUCAGUGGGGGAUAACGUAGCGAAAGUUACGCUAAUACCGCAUAUUCUGUGAGCAGGAAAGCAGGGGAUCGCAAGACCUUGCGCUGAUUGAGCGGCCGAUAUCAGAUUAGCUAGUUGAUGGGGUAAAGGCCUACCAAGGCGACGAUCUGUAGCGGGUCUGAGAGGAUGAUCCGCCAAACUGGAACUGAGACACGGUCCAGACUCCUACGGGAGGCAGCAGUGGGGAAUUUUGGACAAUGGGGGCAACCCUGAUCCAGCCAUGCCGCGUGAGUGAAGAAGGCCUUCGGGUUGUAAAGCUCUUUCGGCCGGGAAGAAAUCGCAUGGGCUAAUACCCUGUGUGGAUGACGGUACCGGAAUAAGAAGCACCGGCUAACUACGUGCCAGCCGCCGCGGUAAGAC
rnacentral:rRNA from 1 species